ACGUGCAUGGUGAAGUGGUUAUCAUGCUUGCCUUCCAUCGCAGGUGUCAGCAAGCGAGACGGGUUCGAUUCCCGUUGGGCGUA